AUUGUGGUGUCACUUUCUGCAUUGCAGAGCAAAUCCAUCAAACAUGGCCCCCACCACUGGAUUUAAAAAAAAUAUUUUAGUGUGUGUGUGCUGGGACGGGAUUAAGAAAAGAAAAAGGGGGUGGUGGGUGGGGGUUAGGAAAAAAAAUAAAAAAUCUGCCGCAGCCAUGCCCAUGACUUACAUCAGAUUGUAUUGCUUAAAAAAUUAACCGCUUGUGGUAGGGAUGGAAGUCAGUGAGAGGGGAUGCGAGCCCUUGUUGGGUACCGUUUCCGAUGGCAACCGAUCAAACGCUAACAUCGUUGCUAACAACAACGCAAUUGCUUGACAAGAUAGCGGCCCGAGGCCACUUGAAGUUGAAGUAUUCAGAAGCGAUGAAAUGCUGACAAGCUAGCAGUUGGUAUGCUAACGUAUUGCGACCCGAGUAACAACAAAAUCUCCAUGGCAGAUAAAUAAGAAUUUUACAUUCUGUCAUGUAAUCAGAUGCUAUUUCUAAUGAGGUGAUCCAAUGUUAACAUGCCAGCAGUUGCUAUGCUAGCAGAUGGCAACCCAAGCACAAAAAGCGCUACAAUGCCACUGAACGGGGAUUUUACCCCUCGCCGUGUACGCAGCCGGUGCUAUUUGUAACGGGAAGUGAUCAAAUGCUAACAUGCUAACAAGUGCAAUGCGAACGCAAGGCACCAAAGGACAGUGGCUGCAUUGUUGGCCGUCUAAUACAAAAGCUCAGGCUGCACUUGAAGACCAACACAGAAUACAGAAAUGUCAUUAGGACCAAUAGUGGCUGCAGUGUACACUUGUUACAUGAAAUUUAAUACCGGAAUGGGAGAAGGAUGUAUGAAAGGUAGGAAGGAAAGGAUGUUGGAAGGAUGGAAGGAAGGAGUAUGGUGCUAUGAAAAGGAGGUGGAAAGAAGGAAGGGACGGAGGAAGGAAUGGAGGGUUGAAGGAUGGAUGAAGGAAACGAGGGUGGUAUGCAAGGGAGGACGAAAGAGGGAAGAGUGGAAUGGAUAGAAGGAACAAAAGGAAGGAGUGGAAGAAAAGGGCAGAGGAAGGAAGGAUGGAAAGAAGAGUGGAUAGAAGGUAGAAAGGAUCGAUGCAAGGAAAGAAGGAAGGGAUGAAGUUAGAAGGGAUUGGAGGGAAGGGUAGAGGUAAUAUAGAAGGAGCGAAAGAAGGAAGGAAGGAAGCAAACAAGAAAGAGAGAGAAGGAGAAAAGAAAGACAGACAGAAAGAAACAACCAUGGUAUGAAAGGGAGGGAGGGUGGAAGACAGGAAGGGACAGAGGAAGACAAUGGAAGGAAGGUAUAAAAGAAGGGAGGAUGGAACAAAGGAAUGAAGGAAUGUGAAAGAAAGGAGGAGGCUCAUCGCCAGUUUUUGGCUCUCCACAGGCUAAAACCCAAAAUUGAAACCUCAACCUUUGUUUAAAACCCUAAAAAUGGUUUCAAACCAUGAUUGGUUAUGCAUGUCAUGACCACAUGUAACCACUAAGAGUCGCUGUUUAACAAAAGUUGCGUAGGAAAACAUCAGUGUGUCAACUACUUCCGGCAGGAAACCACAGAAGAAGAAUGCACACAUGGCAACAAUCGAGGAAAACGGACCGCCGACUCAUGACCAGCGUGACGCGUCGUCGUCGUUCCAGGCGAGGGAGAAGCUCCAGGGCCUGCUGAACAAGAACAUGAGGAUCCGUAUGACUGACGGCCGGACCUUGGUGGGCCUUUUCCUCUGCACGGACCGCGACUGUAACAUAAUCCUCGGAUCGGCUCAGGAGUUCCUCAAAUCCACGGACACUUUCUCCCAGGGUGAACCCCGAGUUCUGGGCCUGGCCAUGAUCCCGGGUCACCAUGUGGUCUCCAUCGAAGCCGAGGCGGACACGCUGGACGACGCGCAAGAUUUCGGAGUGAACCAUUCGGAAAUGGACCUUUGAUAGUGGAAGAAUGGCCGUUUUCUUUAGUUUUUUUUCUUUUUAAAUACCUUGGACAGCAGGGUGAAUAACUUAAAUUUGAUGUAUGUUAUUAAUGUCUUUCGGGUGGUAAACGUUGGGAGUCUAGCAAAUGUGAGUUCAUGAGGCUGUAUUCUCUUUGCAGAGUCAAUAACUUGAGUUAUCCCUGCAGGAAGAACUGAACUUCUGAAAGGGGACUCUUGCGCCGGAUUUGAAUGAGUGACGACCGUGAUUACCGGGGAGCUUACCCACAGCAGAGUGGUAGUGGGACAAGGCUUCAGCCAGCUGACCGGCUGCCAAAAGUUUGCGGCCCAUCUCCAAGUGAUGCUCAAUCUCGCCGCCAGUCGCCCCCAACACGCCUGGAACCCGUCGCGGUCGUGGUGAAUAAUCAAACACGCUCCCAACGAGCAUUAGACACAGCGACGUGUGCCGCCUUACCGUCCAGGAUGACACAAAGCAGCGACAAGGAGCACAGCACCCCGCCCGGUCCGGUCAAGCGGCCCCAGUCCAUACCGGCGACGGUUGAUCAAUUCACGUAAAACGACGUGGAACUCAUUGAAACGCUAUCCUGCCAUGAAAGCGUUCUCCCGACUGGAAUUGCUCGGAGGAAACGACGAGCCGAGUUUACGGUCCGGCUGUGCCAAAGUUCCGUGUGAAAACGCAAUGCUCGGCAGGAAGGUUCCUGCACGAGACCUGGCGCGUUUAACGCAACGUUUCGCAUCAGGAAAAAAAUAAAUAAAUAGUAACUUCGA